CAUAUAUAGGAUAAAAUAAUCCGUGGAUUUGUGGAAUCUUAGAUUCAAAUGUUGAUAUAUGC
rnacentral:tRNA from 1 species